CAGUUAAGAUGCCGGGGCACACUGAAUGAUGCUCCGUUACUGCUAACCUCAUCACCAACAGCCAAGAGGCUUCCUCCUCCAGUAUGAACUCAUAAGAUGCGCCCGAGAAAGCAUUUUAUUGGCAUGCAUCAUACAGCAUGGUUUGGCAACAGCUCCAUCGACACUGCAAGAAAUUGCAGCGAAUUGUGUAAUCAGCCCAGACCAUCACACAAACCAACCUCCCUUCCGUUGACUCCAUCUACACUUCACACUGCCCGGGCAAGGCCAGCAUAAUGAGAGACCAGUCUCACCCUGGUCACUCCCUCUUCUCUCCUCUCCCAUCAGGCAAGUGGGUGGGUAUAUGGAACAAGCUGCCGGAGAAGGCAGGUAGUAUCAUAACAUUCACGAAACAUCUGGAUGUACGUGGAUAGGAUAGGUUUAGAGGAUUAUGGGCCAAACGCGGGCAAGUGGGACUAGUGUAGAUGGGACACGUAGGUCGGCAUGGGCAAGUUGGGCUGAAGGGCCUGUUUCUACACUGAAUUACUCUAUGACUUUAUUUUUCUAUUUUAGAAUGUGAGAAUGAAAUCCAUCACACGGACCAGAUUUCCAAAUUCACCUCGUGACUUCAAAUCUUUGGUAUGUGAAAUUUUAUGGAAAACUAAAGCACUAAAUAUUACCUGUGAAUCGUGUAACGACCUGCAGAUGAGUUUUCGCGCCCUGCACAGAAAUACAAUGUCUGCCUUGGGAAAAUGUUGCAAAUCGAAGAAAACGGUACGAAAUCCUAAAAGGCCGACAGUGAAGAAGACAAAGGAACUGCUGCAUAAAUUGGAACUGCUCUGGCAAUACUUAACAAAAUCUUCGGGGUGACAGAAAGGCUCUCGUCAAUAACAUUGCAGAACAGGACCAGCAAGAAAAGCACACUGACUGUCAACAUUUCCCCAACAUCCGCUGCCUUGCAAGGAGAAAGAUAUUUCCAAGACGUACAGGAAGUUGCAAUGGCGACAACAGUGGGGGGGGAGUCCAGUAAACUUCUGAGCAACUUAACACAAGCUGCAACACUCAAGAACAUAAAAAUAUUUGUGUUCUUUUGCCUGUUGGCAAAUGUAACGGCAUGACCACAUUUCCAACCGGACCAUGGAGAGGAACUGAUUUAUUGACUACUGACCGCGUAUAACCGUGCUACAGAUUUAAUAUAAAAUAUCUUUUUUACUUUUUUAUUUUCUUUGUUUCAUUGACGGUCGGAGGUUACGGGAAGGCUUGAUGGAAGUAUAUAAAAUUAUGAGAGGCAUUGACAGUGUAGACAGUCAAACCUUUGUCUCAGGGUGGAAAUCUACAACACGACAUACACGGUGGCGCAGCGGUAGAGUUGUUGCCUUACAGCACUUACAGCGCUGGAGACCCGGGUUCGAUCCCGACUACGGGUGCUGUCUGUAGGGAGUUUGUACUUUCUCCACGUGACCUGCGUGGGUUUUCUCCGAGAUCUUCGGUUUCCUCCUACACUCCAAAGACGUGCAGGUUGUGGGUUGAUUGGCUCGGUAUAAGUGUCAAUUAUCCGUAGAGUGCGUAGGAUAGUGUUGCACGGGGGUAGAAAUGCGCGGAGAUCGCUGGUCGGCACGGAAUCGGUGGAUUCAAGGGCCUGUUUCCGUACACAGGGCAUGUUUAUUUUACACAGAUAGUGGUGGGUUGAAACUAAACUAAACGAACUUCAACAUAAUCGGCAAAGUAUGCAACUCAAUUUUUAGUGCAUUGAAUCCAUAAAUUCGAUUCGUCUGAGAUCUAUCUGAGCAUGAACGGCGUUGUAGGGAAUUAGGGAGGAUCCUGAUCUCUCUGAAUUUCAGUCGAUAUAUAUAAAUGGUAUCUAAAGGUUUUCACUGGAGUCCUGGCUUAUGCAGGUUUGUUUCUGAGUUGCUGCCAAGGUUGGUGCUGGAAGUAGAUUCAAUAAUGGCAUUAAAAAGGCUUUCAACAGGCACGUGGAUGUGCAGUGAAUGUGUGUCACGUGCAGGCAGACGAGAUCAGUUUAACUUGGCAUCAUAUUCGGCACAGACAUUGUGGGAGGAAGUGGCUGUUCCAAUGCUGUACUGUGCUACGUUCUAUGUUCUCUUUGACUACUAUUGAGGUACCAGAGGACCGUGAGAUGGCUAGGGUUAAACUCUUGUCACAAACAUAGAGGUGGGCGCCUGGAAGACAUUGCUAUGAUAGUGACGUUUAAGAGGCUUUUAGGAAGGUAGAUGAGAUCAGUUCAGCUAGGCAUCAUGUUGGGCACAUGCAUUGUGGGCCAAAGAAGGCCUGUUCACAUGCUGUACUGUUCUAUGUUCUAUCACCUCGGCUUUCGUGGAG